rnacentral:tRNA from 1 species
UUUUUUAUAGUAUAGCACCAUAUAGUUACCUUCCAAGUAAAAGAUCUCAAUAUGAGUGAAAAUA